AUUGAACGCUGGCGGCAUGCCUUACACAUGCAAGUCGAACGGCAGCACGGGUGCUUGCACCUGGUGGCGAGUGGCGAACGGGUGAGUAAUACAUCGGAACAUGUCCUGUAGUGGUGGAUAGCCCGGCGAAAGCCGGAUUAAUACCGCAUACGAUCUACGGCUGAGAGCGGGGGACCUUCGGGCCUCGCGCUAUAGGGUUGGCCGAUGGCUGAUUAGCUAGUUGGUGGGGUAAAGGCCUACCAAGGCGACGAUCAGUAGCUGGUCUGAGAGGACGACCAGCCACACUGGGACUGAGACACGGCCCAGACUCCUACGGGAGGCAGCAGUGGGGAAUUUUGGACAAUGGGCGAAAGCCUGAUCCAGCAAUGCCGCGUGUGUGAAGAAGGCCUUCGGGUUGUAAAGCACUUUUGUCCGGAAAGAAAUCCUUGGCCCUAAUACGGUCGGGGGAUGACGGUACCGGAAGAAUAAGCACCGGCUAACUACGUG
rnacentral:rRNA from 1 species